CCUACGGGGGGCAGCAGUGAGGAAUAUUGGUUAAUGGACACAAGUCUGAACCAGCCAUGCCGCGUGCAGGAUGACGUCUCUAUGAGUUGUAAACUGCUUUUGUACGAGGGUAAUAUCAGAUACGUGUAUCUUCUUGAAAGUAUCUUACGAAUAAGGAUCGGCUAACUCCGUGCCAGCAGCCGCGGUAAUACGGAGGAUCCAAGCGUUAUCCGGAUUUAUUGGGUUUCAAGGGUGCGUAGGCGGUUUUAUAAGUUAGUGGUGAAAUUUUGGGGCGCAACUCCGAACUUGACUUUGAUACUGUAUGACUAGAGAAUAGAUGCGGUAGGCGGAAUGCAUGGUGUAGCGGUGAAAUGCGUAGAGAUCAUACAGAACACCGAUUGCGAAGGCAGCUUACCAAACUAUAACUGACGUUGAGGCACGAAAGCGUGGGGAGCAAACAGGAUUAGAUACCCCUGUAGUC
rnacentral:rRNA from 1 species